CAGUUGAAGGUGCUGAGCAUGGGGAGAGGAUGGAAGAGUGUGCCUUGCUUGGAGAGGAAGAAUAGGAAAGCUAGAUUCCCUGGGGUGUUGGCAGUUGGGAUCAGUGAUCAACAGGACAGCAGUGCCUAGCUGUAACCCAGCACCUGGAUUGCAAGGUAAAGACACAGGGACACCUUUUAUUCCAAAGGAAGAGAAGAAGCUCCACCAGCUAUGCCAGGCAGCCAGCUUGAUGUCUUGCCCUUGUGUGUCUCCAUCCAUCAUGGGCUCAGAGCAUUAGCAGGAGACUUCACUGGGUAAUCCUUGCAUCUGGCACAAAGUCCUGGGGCUGAGCAGUGUCUAAUGGCACAGGAAGAAAACCAGAUUCAAACUGAAGCUACUAAAUGAUGGGGAAUGCAUCUUGUUAACUUCAUGCUCUGAUGAGGUUUCCUAGCAUGUUCUCACUCAGCUGUUUGCCCAGGCAAUUUUGGGCAGUGUUUCUCAGCCUAUGUAAACCAAAGGGCUAACCAGCCUUAUAAAAACCCCAACAAACCACAACACCAAAAUGCAGUCAUGCUCCAACUUCUGAUCCAGAUCUCAUUUAUCCUGUUGAGUGAUGCUGUGGUACACAGACCUGCCAACACCGACUGUGGGAUCACAGUUUCGGGGGAUAUUCCCUGUACCAGUUUUCCCUAAGAAAUUAUCCAUCAAGACUUGAAAAAUACAUCUGCUCUGGAACCAACCCGUUGCAGUACGUAAACAAGCUGGCUGGAAACAAGCCUGACCACAGGGUUAUUGGGAGCCCAGAUCUUUGGCCAUUUCCCACACUGCAAGCAUCCACUCUCUGUGAGGCAGCUGCAGCCACGCUGUCAAUAGAGGGAUCAGGUAACCACACCAGGAGCAUUUCAACAACCCGUCGCUGUUGAUCUGAGCUUUCCCUCUCAUGAGAUUCAAAUAGGAACCAUCUUUCCACCUGAGAGGAAUGUCAAGCUCUGAUCCAGCCUUAUUUCAAUGCUUUGGUUCUUCUGGAGACUGACAGCAAGCAGUUCCCCUCCUUAAAGUGGGCAUCAGUGAACCUCUGACCCCAAAAGGGGCAAAGGGCAGUGCAUGUUUGCAGAUACAGGUCUGCUCCUCCAGCCCUGCUCCUUGUUAGGACCAUGUCUGCCAUGGCUUAUCUCUAGGAAAAAGGAGAGGAUAUGGAAGGAAAAGAGGGAAAGGGAAGCACAAGGUUCACCAGGCAUUGGCUUUGAAAGGGCAGAAAGCCGUGAACUAUCACGCCAGGACCCUCAGCCACACUGUCACUGUGUACUGAAGUGCAGGAAGGGUGGUGGUGGUGGUGAGCGGGACACUGCACACAAGGAUGGAAUGCUUGGGGGGUUGAAGGGAAGCGAUGUGAGGCACCUUCACCUCCUGAACAUGCAGGACCCAGGCUGUCAGCAGCACCUGCAGAGGGUGCCAUCAGAGUCAAGGGCUGUCCUUUAAAUGCCCUGGUCUAUAGCAGGAUUUAAAGGAUGAGAUCACUGUAGCUAUGUCAAAUGCAGGCUUGUAGUCAGAGCUAUUCUGUUGUAUUCAUGAAGAACAAAAUGUCUCCAGAGGACAAUCCUUUCCCCCCAAAGGCAUGUCCCUAAGGUGGGUGAGAUGAGCUGCUUCUGAAGAUCUCUAUCUCUGGAAUUCAGGUCUCCUGAACCCCAGCCAAGCUCUUGCCCCAGUGAGAGCUUUGACUGGUAAGGAUCGGUUCCUAAACUGGGACGGGGCCACAAGGUGGGGAAGAGGAAAACUGCUGAUUCUGCAAUGAAGAAAAGCAGUAGCUGGUGGGGAUGCAG